UUCCUACGGGAGGCAGCAGUGGGGAAUAUUGCACAAUGGGGGAAACCCUGAUGCAGCAACGCCGCGUGGGGGAAGGAGCGUUUCGGCGCGUAAAGCCCUGUCAGCGGGGAAGAAGAAAGACGGUACCCGACCAAGAAGCCCCGGCUAACUACGUGCCAGCAGCCGCGGUAAUACGUAGGGGGCGAGCGUUAUUCGGAAUUACUGGGUGUAAAGGGAGCGUAGACGGCGAGGUAAGCCUGAAGUGGAAGCCCGGGGCCCAACCGCGGAACUGCUUUGGGACCGGUUUUGCUGGAGUGUGGGGGGGG
rnacentral:rRNA from 1 species